CCUACGGGAGGCAGCAGUGAGGAAUAUUGGACAAUGGACGCAAGCCUGAACCAGCCAAGUAGCGUGAAGGAUGACGGCCCUAGGGGUUGUAAACUGCUUUUAUAGGGGAAUAAAAUGGUCCACGUGUGGGAUUUUGUAUGUACCAUAUGAAUAAGGAUAGGCUAAAUCCGUGCCAGCAGCCGCGGUAAUACGGAGGAUCCGAGCGUUAUCCGGAUUUAUUGGGUUUAAAGGGAGCGUAGGUGGAUUGUUAAGUCCGUGGUGAAAGUUCGCGGCUCAACCGUAAAAUUGCAGUUGAAACUGGCAGUCUUGAGUACAGUAGAGGUGAGCGGAAUUCGUGGUGUAGCGGUGAAAUGCUUAGAUAUCACGAAGAACUCCGAUUGCGAAGGCAGCUCACUGGACUGCAACUGACACUGAGGCUCGAAAGUGUGGGUAUCAAACAGGAUUAGAUACCCCAGUAGUC
rnacentral:rRNA from 1 species